GAACUACUCCCUCCGUCCGAAAAUACUUGUCCUAAAGAUGAACGUAUUUAGACUUAUUUUAGUCAUAGAUACGUUCAUUAUAUUCAUUUCUAAGACAAGUAUUUCCGGACAGAGGGAGUAGUUU
rfam:Hordeum vulgare subsp. vulgare, WGS project CAJW01000000 data, contig: morex_contig_63420